rnacentral:rRNA from 1 species
CCUACGGGAGGCAGCAGUGGGGAAUAUUGCGCAAUGGGCGAAAGCCUGACGCAGCGACGCCGCGUGAGGGAUGAAGGUCUUCGGAUCGUAAACCUCUGUCAGCAGGGAAGAACGGUCACUGUGCUAAUCAGCAGUGAAUUGACGGUACCUGCAAAGGAAGCACCGGCUAACUCCGUGCCAGCAGCCGCGGUAAUACGGAGGGUGCGAGCGUUAAUCGGAAUUACUGGGCGUAAAGCGCUCGUAGGCGGUAUGGCAAGUCAAGGGUGAAAUCCCCGCGCUCAACGUGGGAACUGCCUUUGAAACUGGCAGACUGGAGUGUGUGAGAGGGUAGUGGAAUUCCAGGUGUAGGAGUGAAAUCCGUAGAUAUCUGGAGGAACAUCAGUGGCGAAGGCGACUAUCUGGCACAUAACUGACGCUGAGGAGCGAAAGCGUGGGUAGCAAACAGGAUUAGAUACCCUAGUAGUC